GUUUGAUCCUGGCUCAGGAUGAACGCUAGCUACAGGCUUAACACAUGCAAGUCGCAGGGUAACGUGAGGGAAGCUUGCUUCCCUUGACGACGACUGGCGCACGGGUGAGUAACGCGUAUCCAACCUUCCCAUGACCACGGGAUAACCCGUUGAAAGACGGACUAAUACCGUAUGACGUCGUUUGCUGACAUCAAAUAACGAUUAAAGGUUUAGCGGUGAUGGAUGGGGAUGCGUCUGAUUAGCUUGUUGGCGGGGUAACGGCCCACCAAGGCUACGAUCAGUAGGGGUUCUGAGAGGAAGGUCCCCCACAUUGGAACUGAGACACGGUCCAAACUCCUACGGGAGGCAGCAGUGAGGAAUAUUGGUCAAUGGGCGAGAGCCUGAACCAGCCAAGUAGCGUGCAGGAUGACGGCCCUAUGGGUUGUAAACUGCUUUUAUGCGGGGAUAAAGUGCGCGACGUGUCGCGCAUUGCAGGUACCGCAUGAAUAAGGACCGGCUAAUUCCGUG
rnacentral:rRNA from 1 species